rnacentral:tRNA from 1 species
UCCCUGGAAGUCCAGUGGUUAAAACUCUGUACUCUCACUGUGGAGGGCCUGGGUUCAAUCCCUAGUCAGGGAA